rnacentral:rRNA from 1 species
UACGGAGGGGGCGAGCGUUAUUCGGAAUUAUUGGGCGUAAAGGGCGCGUAGGCGGCCUGGUAAGUCAAAGGUGAAAUCCCUCGGCUCAACCGAGGAAUUGCCUUUGAAACUACCUGGCUUGAGGCCGGGAGGGGGUAGCGGAAUUCCCAGUGUAGCGGUGAAAUGCGUAGAUACUGGGAGGAACACCGGUGGCGAAGGCGGCUACCUGGACCGGUUCUGACGCUGAGGUGCGAAAGCGUGGGGAGCAAACAGG